rnacentral:rRNA from 1 species
UACAGAGGGGGCAAGCGUUGUUCGGAAUUACUGGGCGUAAAGGGCGCGUAGGCGGCCUGCUAAGUCGAACGUGAAAUCCCCGGGCUCAACCCGGGAACUGCGUCCGAUACUGGCAGGCUUGAAUCCGGGAGAGGGAUGUGGAAUUCCAGGUGUAGCGGUGAAAUGCGUAGAUAUCUGGAGGAACACCAAUGGCGAAGGCAGCUCGCUGGGACGUGACUGACGCUGAGACGCGAAAGCGUGGGGAGCAAACAGG